rnacentral:rRNA from 1 species
GGGUUGUGAGGUUAAGCGACUAAGCGUACACGGUGGAUGCCCUGGCAGUCAGAGGCGAUGAAGGACGUGCUAAUCUGCGAUAAGCGUCGGUAAGGUGAUAUGAACCGUUAUAACCGGCGAUUUCCGAAUGGGGAAACCCAGUGUGUUUCGACACACUAUCAUUAACUGAAUCCAUAGGUUAAUGAGGCGAACCGGGGGAACUGAAACAUCUAAGUACCCCGAGGAAAAGAAAUCAACCGAGAUUCCCCCAGUAGCGGCGAGCGAACGGGGAGGAGCCCAGAGCCUGAAUCAGUGUGUGUGUUAGUGGAAGCGUCUGGAAAGGCGCGCGAUACAGGGUGACAGCCCCGUACACAAAAAUGCACAUACUGUGAGCUCGAUGAGUAGGGCGGGACACGUGGUAUCCUGUCUGAAUAUGGGGGGACCAUCCUCCAAGGCUAAAUACUCCUGACUGACCGAUAGUGAACCAGUACCGUGAGGGAAAGGCGAAAAGAACCCCGGCGAGGGGAGUGAAAAAGAACCUGAAACCGUGUACGUACAAGCAGUGGGAGCCUCUUUAUGGGGUGACUGCGUACCUUUUGUAUAAUGGGUCAGCGACUUAUAUUCUGUAGCAAGGUUAACCGAAUAGGGGAGCCGAAGGGAAACCGAGUCUUAACUGGGCGUUAAGUUGCAGGGUAUAGACCCGAAACCCGGUGAUCUAGCCAUGGGCAGGUUGAAGGUUGGGUAACACUAACUGGAGGACCGAACCGACUAAUGUUGAAAAAUUAGCGGAUGACUUGUGGCUGGGGGUGAAAGGCCAAUCAAACCGGGAGAUAGCUGGUUCUCCCCGAAAGCUAUUUAGGUAGCGCCUCGUGAAUUCAUCUCCGGGGGUAGAGCACUGUUUCGGCAAGGGGGUCAUCCCGACUUACCAACCCGAUGCAAACUGCGAAUACCGGAGAAUGUUAUCACGGGAGACACACGGCGGGUGCUAACGUCCGUCGUGAAGAGGGAAACAACCCAGACCGCCAGCUAAGGUCCCAAAGUUAUGGUUAAGUGGGAAACGAUGUGGGAAGGCCCAGACAGCCAGGAUGUUGGCUUAGAAGCAGCCAUCAUUUAAAGAAAGCGUAAUAGCUCACUGGUCGAGUCGGCCUGCGCGGAAGAUGUAACGGGGCUAAACCAUGCACCGAAGCUGCGGCAGCGACGCUUAUGCGUUGUUGGGUAGGGGAGCGUUCUGUAAGCCUGCGAAGGUGUGCUGUGAGGCAUGCUGGAGGUAUCAGAAGUGCGAAUGCUGACAUAAGUAACGAUAAAGCGGGUGAAAAGCCCGCUCGCCGGAAGACCAAGGGUUCCUGUCCAACGUUAAUCGGGGCAGGGUGAGUCGACCCCUAAGGCGAGGCCGAAAGGCGUAGUCGAUGGGAAACAGGUUAAUAUUCCUGUACUUGGUGUUACUGCGAAGGGGGGACGGAGAAGGCUAUGUUGGCCGGGCGACGGUUGUCCCGGUUUAAGCGUGUAGGCUGGUUUUCCAGGCAAAUCCGGAAAAUCAAGGCUGAGGCGUGAUGACGAGGCACUACGGUGCUGAAGCAACAAAUGCCCUGCUUCCAGGAAAAGCCUCUAAGCAUCAGGUAACAUCAAAUCGUACCCCAAACCGACACAGGUGGUCAGGUAGAGAAUACCAAGGCGCUUGAGAGAACUCGGGUGAAGGAACUAGGCAAAAUGGUGCCGUAACUUCGGGAGAAGGCACGCUGAUAUGUAGGUGAAGCGACUUGCUCGUGGAGCUGAAAUCAGUCGAAGAUACCAGCUGGCUGCAACUGUUUAUUAAAAACACAGCACUGUGCAAACACGAAAGUGGACGUAUACGGUGUGACGCCUGCCCGGUGCCGGAAGGUUAAUUGAUGGGGUUAGCGGUAACGCGAAGCUCUUGAUCGAAGCCCCGGUAAACGGCGGCCGUAACUAUAACGGUCCUAAGGUAGCGAAAUUCCUUGUCGGGUAAGUUCCGACCUGCACGAAUGGCGUAAUGAUGGCCAGGCUGUCUCCACCCGAGACUCAGUGAAAUUGAACUCGCUGUGAAGAUGCAGUGUACCCGCGGCAAGACGGAAAGACCCCGUGAACCUUUACUAUAGCUUGACACUGAACAUUGAGCCUUGAUGUGUAGGAUAGGUGGGAGGCUUUGAAGUGUGGACGCCAGUCUGCAUGGAGCCGGCCUUGAAAUACCACCCUUUAAUGUUUGAUGUUCUAACGUUGGCCCCUGAUCGGGGUUGCGGACAGUGUCUGGUGGGUAGUUUGACUGGGGCGGUCUCCUCCUAAAGAGUAACGGAGGAGCACGAAGGUUGGCUAAUCCUGGUCGGACAUCAGGAGGUUAGUGCAAUGGCAUAAGCCAGCUUGACUGCGAGCGUGACGGCGCGAGCAGGUGCGAAAGCAGGUCAUAGUGAUCCGGUGGUUCUGAAUGGAAGGGCCAUCGCUCAACGGAUAAAAGGUACUCCGGGGAUAACAGGCUGAUACCGCCCAAGAGUUCAUAUCGACGGCGGUGUUUGGCACCUCGAUGUCGGCUCAUCACAUCCUGGGGCUGAAGUAGGUCCCAAGGGUAUGGCUGUUCGCCAUUUAAAGUGGUACGCGAGCUGGGUUUAGAACGUCGUGAGACAGUUCGGUCCCUAUCUGCCGUGGGCGCUGGAGAACUGAGGGGGGCUGCUCCUAGUACGAGAGGACCGGAGUGGACGCAUCACUGGUGUUCGGGUUGUCAUGCCAAUGGCACUGCCCGGUAGCUAAAUGCGGAAGAGAUAAGUGCUGAAAGCAUCUAAGCACGAAACUUGCCCCGAGAUGAGUUCUCCCUGAGACUUUAAGUCUCCUGAAGGAACGUUGAAGACGACGACGUUGAUAGGCCGGGUGUGUAAGCGCAGCGAUGCGUUGAGCUAACCGGUACUAAUGAACCGUGAGGCUUAACCUUACAACGCCGAAG